rnacentral:rRNA from 1 species
GUCCACGCCGUAAACGAUGAGCACUAGUUAUUGGGGGUAUUGACUCCCUCAGUGACGCAGCUAACGCAUUAAGUGCUCCGCCUGGGGAGUACGGUCGCAAGACUAAAACUCAAACAAAUUGACGGGGGCCCGCACAAGCGGUGGAUUAUGUGGUUUAAUUCGAAGCAACGCGCAGAACCUUACCUAGGCUUGAACUCCUACGAAUCCGGCGUAAUGGCUGGAGUGUCCGCAAGGAAAUGUAGUGAGAGGUGCUGCAUGGCUGUCGU